rnacentral:rRNA from 1 species
GAUGAACGCUGGCGGCGUGCUUAACACAUGCAAGUCGAACGGGGAACAAAUUAUUGAAGCUUCGGCAGAUCUAGCUUGUUCCUAGUGGCGGACGGGUGAGUAACGCGUGGGUAACCUGCCUCGCACUGGGGGAUAACAGUCAGAAAUGGCUGCUAAUACCGCAUAAGCGCACAGUACCGCAUGGUACAGUGUGAAAAACUCCGGUGGUGUGAGAUGGACCCGCGUUGGAUUAGCUAGUUGGCAGGGCAGCGGCCUACCAAGGCGACGAUCCAUAGCCGGCCUGAGAGGGUGAACGGCCACAUUGGGACUGAGACACGGCCCAGACUCCUACGGGAGGCAGCAGUGGGGAAUAUUGCACAAUGGGGGAAACCCUGAUGCAGCGACGCCGCGUGAAGGAAGAAGUAUCUCGGUAKGUAAACUUCUAUCAGCAGGGAAGAAA